rnacentral:tRNA from 1 species
GGGGUUGUGGUGUAGCUUGGUCUAGCAUCCGGGCUUCGGGAGCCCGCGACCGGGGUUCAAAUCCCCGCAACCCCA